rnacentral:rRNA from 1 species
CUUCGGGUUCGCAUUGUAAUUUGUAGAGGAUGAUUUGGGGAAGCCGCCUGUCUAAGUUCCUUGGAACAGGACGUCAUAGAGGGUGAGAAUCCCGUAUGUGACAGGAAAUGGCACCCUAUGUAAAUCUCCUUCGACGAGUCGAGUUGUUUGGGAAUGCAGCUCUAAAUGGGAGGUAAAUUUCUUCUAAAGCUAAAUAUUGGCGAGAGACCGAUAGCGCACAAGUAGAGUGAUCGAAAGAUGAAAAGCACUUUGGAAAGAGAGUUAAAAAGCACGUGAAAUUGUUGAAAGGGAAGCGCUUGCAAUCAGACUUGUUUAAACUGUUCGGCCGGUCUUCUGACCGGUUUACUCAGUUUGGACAGGCCAGCAUCAGUUUCGGCGGCCGGAUAAAGGCUCUGGGAAUGUGGCCUCCACUUCGGUGGAGGUGUUAUAGCCCCAGGG